rnacentral:lncRNA from 1 species
CGAGACACGCCCCGGGCUGGGCGGGAUCUUGGGGCGGCCGGGCUAGUAGGGCUGGAUCAGGCGGAAGCCGGGGCCCGGGGCUGGGCUUCGUGUCCUGCGUUCCGGGAGCGCCAACCCCUCCAGCAGAGGGGACGUGGCUGGUGGCUGGAGAAGCUGGAUUUGCCCUUUGAUGGUGGCCCUCUUGAUCCCCGGCUUGCUGAAGUCAAAAAGCUGGCACGAUGCACCUCCCGCCGACCACCCCGCCACCAGCUCAUCCACUCCCCUGCUGUCCCACUCCACUGCCACCAGGAAGUCUGCGG